AACGAACGCUGGCGGCGCGCCUAACACAUGCAAGUCGAACGAGAAGGCGUAGCAAUACGCUUGUACAGUGGCGAACGGGUGAGGAACACGUGGGUAACCUACCCUCGAGUGGGGAAUAACCAACCGAAAGGUUGGCUAAUGCCGCGUAAGCUUCCAUCUCUUCGGAGGUGGAAGGAAAGCUGUACCGUGGGUACAGCGCUCAAGGAUGGGCUCACGUCCUAUCAGCUUGUUGGUAGGGAACGGCCUACCAAGGCAACGACGGGUAGCUGGUCUGAGAGGACGAUCAGCCACACUGGCACUGCGACACGGGCCAGACUCCUACGGGAGGCAGCAGUGAGGAAUAUUGCGCAAUGGGCGAAAGCCUGACGCAGCGACGCCGCGUGGGGGAUGAAGGUCUUCGGA
rnacentral:rRNA from 1 species